GUUGUUGUGCUUGUGGUUGCUCCAAAACGGAAAAAAAUAAAAGUUUGGGAAUUACAUUUCAUGUCUUUCCGAAAGAUGUGCAUAUAAGAAAUGCUUGGAUCAGAUUUGUAAAUAAGGAAGGAUGGGUACCCAAAGGCAUAAGUUAUUUAUGUUCUCGACAUUUUGGUGAAUAACAAUUUGAUCGAUCAUCCAAGCUGAAAGUGAGAUUACAACCAAAUGCUGUUCCUACACUGAACGUUACACGAUUAAAAUACAUAAGAAAGAUCUGUUGAUUCUAUUUAUACAAGUGUACAAGAAGAAAAUGACAUUCUGGUCACACCUGGCCCUUCUAGAAGAGAAUAUACUCCAUCUCCUACAUCGGCACUAGCAACUCCCGUUUGUUCUCAACACUUGCAAGAUACUCCUCGUAAAAGAUCAUU